rnacentral:rRNA from 1 species
CCUACGGGAGGCAGCAGUGAGGAAUAUUGGUCAAUGGACGAGAGUCUGAACCAGCCAAGUAGCGUGAAGGAUGACUGCCCUAUGGGUUGUAAACUUCUUUUAUAAAGGAAUAAAACGAGGCACGUGUGCCUUUUUGCAUGUACUUUAUGACUAAGGAUCGGCUAACUCCGUGCCAGCAGCCGCGGUAAUACGGAGGAUCCGAGCGUUAUCCGGAUUUAUUGGGUUUAAAGGGAGCGUAGAUGGGUUGUUAAGUCAGUUGUGAAAGUUUGCGGCUCAACCGUAAAAUUGCAAUUGAUACUGGCAGUCGUGAGUACAGUUGAGGUAAGCGGAAUUCGUGGUGUAGCGGUGAAAUGCUUAGAUAUCACGAAGAACCCCGAUUGCGAAGGCAGCUUACUAAACUGUGACUGACAUUGAUGCUCGAAAGUGUGGGUAUCAAACAGGAUUAGAUACCCUGGUAGUC